UGGGGAAUUUUGGACAAUGGGGGAAACCCUGAUCCAGCCAUCCCGCGUGUGCGAUGAAGGCCUUCGGGUUGUAAAGCACUUUUGGCAGGAAAGAAACGUCGCGGGUUAAUACCCCGCGAAACUGACGGUACCUGCAGAAUAAGCACCGGCUAACUACGUGCCAGCAGCCGCGGUAAUACGUAGGGUGCAAGCGUUAAUCGGAAUUACUGGGCGUAAAGCGUGCGCAGGCGGUUCGGAAAGAAAGAUGUGAAAUCCCAGAGCUUAACUUUGGAACUGCAUUUUUAACUACCGGGCUAGAGUGCGUCAGAGGGAGGUGGAAUUCCGCGUGUAGCAGUGAAAUGCGUAGAUAUGCGGAGGAACACCGAUGGCGAAGGCAGCCUCCUGGGAUAACACUGACGCUCAUGCACGAAAAGCGUGGGGAGCAAAACAGGAUUAGAUACCCUGGUAGUCCACGCCCUAAACGAUGUCAACUAGCUGUUGGGGCCUUCGGGCCUUGGUAGCGCAGCUAACGCGUGAAGUUGACCGCCUGGGGAGUACGGUCGCAAGAUUAAAAACUCAAAGGAAUUGACGGGGGUCAUAGCUGUUUUCCU
rnacentral:rRNA from 1 species